rnacentral:rRNA from 1 species
CUUUGGGGUGUGACUGCGUACCUUUUGUAUAAUGGGUCAGCGACUUAUAUUCUGUAGCAAGGUUAACCGAAUAGGGGAGCCGGAGGGAAACCGAGUCUUAAUUGGGCGUUAAGUUGCAGGGUAUAGACCCGAAACCCGGUGAUCUAGCCAUGGGCAGGUUGAAGGUUGGGUAACACUAACUGGAGGACCGAACCGACUAAUGUUGAAAAAUUAGCGGAUGACCUGUGGCUGGGGGUGAAAGGCCAAUCAAACCGGGAGAUAGCUGGUUCUCCCCGAAAGCUAUUUAGGUAGCGCCUCGUGAAUUCAUCUCCGGGGGUAGAGCACUGUUUCGGCUAGGGGGCCAUCCCGGCUUACCAACCCGAUGCAAACUGCGAAUACCGGAGAAUGUUAUCACGGGAGACACACGGCGGGUGCUAACGUCCGUCGUGAAGAGGGAAACAACCCAGACCGCCAGCUAAGGUCCCAAAGUCAUGGUUAAGUGGGAAACGAUGUGGGAAGGCCCAGACAGCCAGGAUGUUGGCUUAGAAGCAGCCAUCAUUUAAAGAAAGCGUAAUAGCUCACUGGUCGAGUCGGCCUGCGCGGAAGAUGUAACGGGGCUAAACCAUGCACCGAAGCUGCGGCAGCGAACGUAUCACUUAAAGCGAUUCAGCGGGUUACGAUUGACGGAGCGAAGCGACGUCAAAGCGUAUACAAAGUCGAGUCGGUUUAAGGAUACGUUCGUUGGGUAGGGGAGCGUUCUGUAAG